rnacentral:lncRNA from 1 species
UUAAAUGCUGCCGUGAAAUUUACCCAAUCAACAAAACUGACUGUUCAUCGCCUUGUCACUUCAUCUGCCUUUCUUCUUCAAGACGUUUCCAUACUCCUGAGGCAUUAAUCAUCAACGUUCUUUGUACAGCCCUCUUCUCAAUUAACCCCAUCCCAUCUUCUCUCUUCCUAAUCAAUCCUAAUCUCCCACUCUAUCCCUUUCCUCUUGAUCUACUGCAUAUUCCGGAACUCCCCCAACAAGGUACACUGGUACUUUAGCCUUCAUCGUUUCUUUUGCUACCAUAUGCGCAAGAACGUUAACUGCUCUUGGGACAUACUCGAAUCUGCACUCCUUGACUUCAGAUAGCAUUUUAUGAAUAUCCGUAAUGUAUGCACAAACCCUUGAUUUAUCUUGGAUAUCUGACUUACUUUUUUUUAUUAUCGAUAAUGAAUCUCCUUCUAUAAUGAUUUUUUCCCAUUUCAUAUGAAUACCGAUUUUGGUUGCUUCCCGGCAUGCGAGCGCCUCGGCCGCGAAGACUGAUGUCACCUGUUGAUAGAUCUCCGAACAUGAUAGAAGAGUUUUGCCUUCACUAUCCCUGGCCACAAACCCCACAGUCGCUUGAUUACACUUCCCAUCGUAGGCAGCAUAAACCUCUCAAAGUUAGGUGUCCUAAAUAAAAAAUUUUGAAAAAAUAAGUGAUAAAAGUGUUAUUUAAAAUUCAAAAAUUAUUAAUAUGUUAACUCAUAAUUAUUUUCA